GAUGAACGCUAGCGGCAGGCUUAAUACAUGCAAGUCGAACGGUAAGUUUGGUAGCAAUACUGAACCAAGAGUGACGUACGGGUGCGUAACACGUAUGCAACCUACCCAAAACAGGAGGAUAGCUCGGGGAAACUCGAAUUAACCCUCCAUAAGAUCAUAGAGUAGCAUUACUUAGUGAUUAAAACUCCGGUGGUUUUGGAUGGGCAUGCGUCUGAUUAGUUAGUUGGCGGGGUAACGGCCCACCAAGACGAUGAUCAGUAGGGGAACUGAGAGGUUGAUCCCCCACACUGGCACUGAGAUACGGGCCAGACUCCUACGGGAGGCAGCAGUAGGGAAUAUUGGUCAAUGGAUGCAAGUCUGAACCAGCCAUGCCGCGUGCAGGAAGAAGGCGUUAUGCGUUGUAAACUGCUUUUGCCAGGGGAUAAAAUAACCUUGCGAGGUUAAUUGAAGGUACCUGGUGAAUAAGCCACGGCUAACUACGUGCCAGCAGCCGCGGUAA
rnacentral:rRNA from 1 species